GAUGAACGCUGGCGGCGUGCCUAAUACAUGCAAGUCGAGCGAACGGACGAGAAGCUUGCUUCUCUGAUGUUAGCGGCGGACGGGUGAGUAACACGUGGAUAACCUACCUAUAAGACUGGGAUAACUUCGGGAAACCGUAGCUAAUACCGGAUAAUAUUUUGAACCGCAUGGUUCAAAAGUGAAAGGCGGUCUUGCUGUCACUUAUAGAUGGAUCCGCGCUGCAUUAGCUAGUUGGUAAGGUAGCGGCUUACCAAGGCAACGAUGCAUAGCCGACCUGAGAGGGUGAUCGGCCACACUGGAACUGAGACACGGUCCAGACUCCUACGGGAGGCAGCAGUAGGGAAUCUUCCGCAAUGGGCGAAAGCCUGACGGAGCAACGCCGCGUGAGUGAUGAAGGUCUUCGGAUCGUAAAACUCUGUUAUUAGGGAAGAACAUAUGUGUAAGUAACUGUGCACAUCUUGACGGUACCUAAUCAGAAAGCCACGGCUAACUACGUG
rnacentral:rRNA from 1 species